rnacentral:lncRNA from 1 species
AAAGUAUUAUUUCAUACUUACCCUUAUGAGUUUUCAAAAUUGACCUAUGAAGAAAUAACCCAGAUAACAUUGUAAUUUCAUAUUCAAAUAAGUAAUAACAACAAACCUACUUAUUUACCACUACCACUGGGGGUCCAUAUGGAUAUCCCUUUACACGUGAACCCAAUAUUUAAUUUAUUAAUUAUCGACCGUUCCAUAACCCGUCCAGUAAUGAGCACUAAAUAUGCCACCGCGUCAAUACUCCAUCCAGUAU